rnacentral:rRNA from 1 species
AUUGAACGCUGGCGGCAUGCCUUACACAUGCAAGUCGAACGGUAACAGGUCUUCGGAUGCUGACGAGUGGCGAACGGGUGAGUAAUACAUCGGAACGUGCCUAGUAGUGGGGGAUAACUACUCGAAAGAGUGGCUAAUACCGCAUGAGAUCUACGGAUGAAAGCAGGGGAUCGCAAGACCUUGUGCUACUAGAGCGGCCGAUGGCAGAUAGGUAGUUGGUGGGAUAAAAGCUUACCAAGCCGCCGAUCUGUAGCUGGUCUGAGAGGACGAUCAGCCACACUGGGACUGAGACACGGCCCAGACUCCUACGGGAGGCAGCAGUGGGGAAUUUUGGACAAUGGGCGAAAGCCUGAUCCAGCAAUGCCGCGUGCAGGAUGAAGGCCUUCGGGUUGUAAACUGCUUUUGUACGGAACGAAAAGCCCCGGGUUAAUACCCUGGGGUCAUGACGGUACCGUAAGAAUAAGCAUCGGCUAACUACGUGCCAGCCGCCGCGGUAA